rnacentral:rRNA from 1 species
UGGGGAAUAUUGGACAAUGGGCGCAAGCCUGAUCCAGCAAUGCCGCGUGUGUGAAGAAGGCCUUCGGGUUGUAAAGCACUUUAAGCAGGGAAGAAAAAGCUCGGUCUAAUACAUCGAGUCUUGACGGUACCUGAAGAAUAAGCACCGGCUAACUCUGUGCCAGCAGCCGCGGUAAUACAGAGGGUGCUAGCGUUAAUCGGAUUUACUGGGCGUAAAGCGUGUGUAGGUGGUUGUUCAAGUCAGUUGUGAAAUCCCUGGGCUUAACCUGGGAACUGCUUCUGAGACUGAACGACUAGAGUACGGUAGAGGGUGGUGGAAUUUCCCGGUGUAGCGGUGAAAUGCGUAGAUAUCGGAAGGAACAUCAAUGGCGAAGGCAGCCACCUGGGCCUGUACUGACACUGAGACACGAAAGCGUGGGGAUCAAACAGGAUUAGAUACCCUGGUAGUCCACGCCGUAAACGAUGAGAACUUGACGUCGGUUUGCUCUGCAAGUCGGUGUCGUAGCUAACGCGAUAAGUUCUCCGCCU